AUUAACGAAGAUUCCCCUAGUAACUGCGAGUGAAGAGGGAACAGUCCGGCACUUAGUCCGGCGGCCGGUCUGGCCGCACGGAGAUGCAGUGCUUAAGGUGCGGGCCGUCGGGCCGGUGCACGUCGCUCGUCCAAGUCCUUCUUGAAGGGGGCCGACACAUCCGCAGAGGGUGCCAGGCCCGUGGCGACGGCUCCGGCGUGCCGGCUUAGGCCCGGCCGCAGAGUAGAGUUGCUUGAGAGUGCAGCUCGAAAUCGGGUGGUAAACUCCAUCCAAGACUAAAUACGAUCACGAGACCGAUAGCGAACAAGUACCGUGAGGGAAAGUUGAAAAGAACUUUGAAGAGAGAGUUCAACAGUACGUGAAACCGUUCAGGGUAAAACCCGUGAAAGCGGACUGGACGAACGGAAAGAUUCAUCGGGCGCGGCCGCGCGGCCGGUCCGUGUCGGGCGCGUCGCGUCGCCGAGGGUCGUUCGCGGCCCGAGGUGCGCGUCGCCCCGCCGGUGCCGCGCUGUGUGCGCGCGCCGCGCCGGUGCACUUCUUUUCCCAGUAGAGAGUCGCGUCCGUCGGAGGGGCCGGCCUAAGGCCCGGGGUGUUGAGAUCGCGACGGCGACGUACUUGUGCGUCGACUGUCGCGAAGCCCCGGUGACCCGGCCGUGCCGUGCCGGCGGACAGCAGUCGUUGCGACGGAGGGCGCCUUCGGGCGCGUGCGGACGCCUAGGCGGCCGCGUACGUCGGCCGGUGGUCGGUGCGCCUCGUGCGUCCGCCCCGGCCACGUGUCGCGGUUUGCUCGCUAGUGCGUUUCGAUCCGCGGUGCGCCUUCGGGCGCGCCCCCUCUGCGCGCAGCGCGGCUCGCCGUGUCCGCGAUCACCGGACCCGUCUUGAAACACGGACCAAGGAGUCCGGCAUGCCCGCAAGUCUAAGGUGCGGCGUCGCGCUUCGGCGCGGCGCGAACCAACACCGCUAGGCGCAAUGAAAGUGAAGGUCGGCGCCGACACGGCAUCGGCGCCUGACCGGCGGGACGAUGCGUGUCCUCGCCGCCGUCCGUUUCGGCGGGCGACGGGAGGCGCGCCGCAGUCCCGAGGUGUCUCAGUCUCAUCGCGAGACGAGGCGCACUCGGAGCGGGCACGCCGGGACCCGAAAGAUGGUGAACUAUGCCCGGCCAGGACGAAGUCAGGGGAAAUCCUGAUGGAGGUCCGCAGCGAUUCUGACGUGCAAAUCGAUCGUCUGAGCUGGGUAUAGGGGCGAAAGACUAAUCGAACCAUCUAGUAGCUGGUUCCCUCCGAAGUUUCCCUCAGGAUAGCUGGCGCUCGCGCCCGAAAGCAAAAUGAGUCUCAUGCGGUAAAGCGAAUGACUAGAGGUAUUGGGGUCGAAACGACCUCAACCUAUUCUCAAACUUUAAAUGUGUGAGAUCGCCGGCCUUCUCGAGGCCGUCGCCGUCCGGCAACGGGCGGCGCUCCCCCUGAGGCCGGCCGAUCGGAUCAUAG
rnacentral:rRNA from 1 species